CCGAGUUUGGGGGAAACCCCAACUCCCACCCUUGUUGACCUCGACGUUGCUUCGGCGAGACGCUGGAAGCAGCCAUCGGCAAUUUUUGACAAAUGCGCCGAUGCGUGCUCGCCGGACUCUGAAUACUCUAGACUAUUUUACUGUCAGAUGAAAAAACAAGCAAUAUAUAA
rnacentral:misc_RNA from 1 species